GACGUGAGGGGCGAGCGUUACUCGGAAUUACUGGGCGUAAAGGACACGCAGGUGGCUGUGUAAGUCAAGUGUUAAAGACUGAGGCUUAACCUCAGGAAUGCGCUUGAUACUGCAUAGCUUGGUGCUAGGGGAGGGAGAUGGAAUGCCCGGUGUAAGGGUAAAAUCUGUAGAUAUCGGGUAGAACGCCAAAGGCGAAGGCAGUCUUCUAUCCUAGUCACGACACUCAGGUGUGAAAGCUGGGGGAGCAAACAGG
rnacentral:rRNA from 1 species